UACGUAGGCAGCGAGCGUUGUUCGGAAUUAUUGGGCGUAAAGAGUGUGUAGGCGGUGCUCCAAGUCUGUCGUGAAAUCUCCCGGCUUAACCGGGAGGGUGCGGCGGAAACUGGAGUGCUCGAGGGUGGGAGAGGAAAGCGGAAUUCCCGGCGUAGCGGUGAAAUGCGUAGAUAUCGGGAGGAACACCUGCGGUGUAGACAGCUUUCUGGACCACUUCUGACGCUGAGACACGAAAGCGUGGGUAGCAAACAGG
rnacentral:rRNA from 1 species